rnacentral:rRNA from 1 species
AGAGUUUGAUCAUGGCUCAGGAUGAACGCUAGCUACAGGCUUAACACAUGCAAGUCGAGGGGCGGGCAUGUUGGUUGCUUGCAACCAAUGAUGGCGACCGGCGCACGGGUGAGUAACGCGUAUCCAACCUACCCUUGUCCAUCGGAUAACCCGUCGAAAGGCGGCCUAACACGAUAUGCGGUUCUCAGCAGGCAUCUAACGAGAACGAAAUGUGAAGGAGAAGGAUGGGGAGUGCGUCUGAUUAGCUUGUUGGCGGGGUAACGGCCACCAAGGCGACGAUCAGUAGGGGUUCUGAGAGGAGGUCCCCCACAUUGGAACUGAGACACGGUCCAAACUCCUACGGGAGGCA